ACGGUACCUGCAGAAGAAGCACCGGCUAACUACGUGCCAGCAGCCGCGGUAAUACGUAGGGUGCGAGCGUUGUCCGGAAUUAUUGGGCGUAAAGAGCUUGUAGGCGGUUUGUCGCGUCUGCAGUGAAAAUCCGGGGCUCAACCCCGGACUUGCUGUGGGUACGGGCAGACUAGAGUGUGGUAGGGGAGACCGGAAUUCCUGGUGUAGCGGUGGAAUGCGCAGAUAUCAGGAGGAACACCGAUGGCGAAGGCAGGUCUCUGGGCCAUAACUGACGCUGAGAAGCGAAAGCAUGGGGAGCGAACAGGAUUAGAUACCCUGGUAGUCCAUGCCGUAAACGUUGGGCGCUAGGUGUGGGACUCAUUCCACGAGUUCCGUGCCGCAGCUAACGCAUUAAGCGCCCCGCCUGGGGAGUACGGCCGCAAGGCUAAAACUCAAAGGAAUUGACGGGGGCCCGCACAAGCGGCGGAGCAUGCGGAUUAAUUCGAUGCAACGCGAAGAACCUUACCAAGGCUUGACAUAUACCGGAAACAUCCAGAGAUGGGUGCCCCGCAAGGUC
rnacentral:rRNA from 1 species